GUGCUCGCUUUGGCAGCACAUAUGCUAAAAUUGGAACGAUACAGAGAAGAUUAGCAUGGCCCCUGUGCAAGGAUAAGCACUCAAAUUUGUGAAGACUUCCAUAUUUUU
rnacentral:snRNA from 1 species